rnacentral:rRNA from 1 species
UACGUAGGGUGCGAGCGUUAAUCGGAAUUACUGGGCGUAAAGCGUGCGCAGGCGGUUCGCCGUGUCCGAUGUGAAAGCCCCGGGCUUAACCUGGGAAUGGCAUUGGAAACUGGCGGGCUGGAGUGUGGCAGAGGGGGGUGGAAUUCCACGUGUAGCAGUGAAAUGCGUAGAGAUGUGGAGGAACACCGAUGGCGAAGGCAGCCCCCUGGGCCAACACUGACGCUCAGGCACGAAGGCGUGGGGAGCAAACAGG